GACGAACGCUGGCGGCGUGCUUAACACAUGCAAGUCGAACGGAAAGGCCCUGCUUUUGUGAGGUGCUCGAGUGGCGAACGGGUGAGUAACACGUGAGUAACCUGCCCUUGACUUUGGGAUAACUUCAGGAAACUGGGGCUAAUACCGGAUAGGAGCUCCUGCUGCAUGGUGGGGGUUGGAAGGUUUCGGCGGUUGGGGAUGGACUCGCGGCUUAUCAGCUUGUUGGUGGGGUAGUGGCUUACCAAGGCUUUGACGGGUAGCCGGCCUGAGAGGGUGACCGGCCACAUUGGGACUGAGAUACGGCCCAGACUCCUACGGGAGGCAGCAGUGGGGAAUAUUGCACAAUGGGCGGAAGCCUGAUGCAGCAACGCCGCGUGCGGGAUGACGGCCUUCGGGUUGUAAACCGCUUUCGCCUGUGACGAAGCGUGAGUGACGGUAAUGGGUAAAGAAGCACCGGCUAACUACGUG
rnacentral:rRNA from 1 species